rnacentral:rRNA from 1 species
CCUGAGAAACCCGAAAGAUCGAAUGGGGAGAUUCAUCGUCAGCGAUUCUUGUACGUGUGCGCCUCGCGAUGCGACGAGCCGGUUCCCGGUCUCGUUUCACGUGUCCGCAUGUUUUUUAUUGCUCGAAUCGUCGGCGUGCACUUCUCCCCUAGUAGGACGUCGCGACCCGUUGGGUGUCGGUCUACGGCACGGUAGUGUAGUCUGUCACGUGUGCGCUUCACGGCGUUACGUGGGGCAGACCUCCGUUCGCCCGGCCGGCUGCCCGGCGGUACUCGCAAGGUAUCUGGCCGCAGACAUAUGAACUGCGUCCGGCCCGUCGCAAGCGCGGCAAGUGUUUCCCGGCUGUACGGAUCUGAUGCCGUCACCGGGCCUUGCCAGCUGUUGGUUGACGGUGUCCUAGGACUGGCCAACAAAAUUAUGAUACCGGUCGGCGACGCUAUUGCUUUGGGUACUUCCAGGACCCGUCUUGAAACACGGACCAAGGAGUCUAACAUGUGCGCGAGUCAUUGGGAUCUAUUAAGCCUAAAGGCGCAAUGAAAGUGAAGAUCGGCCUUGCGCCGAUCGAGGGAGGAUGGGCCGCGUCACGAUGCGGUCCCGCACUCCCGGGGCGUCUCGUUCCCAUUACNAGAAGAGG